UGGACACCCGCAGAAGGGAGAAGGCCUAGGUAGACAGAGGGGAAGGCUAUUCCAGGCAGAGGGAGCUGCAUGUUGAAAGGAGUGUGAUUUAAGAAAGUUUGCAGCAGCCAAAGGACUGAAAAUGCUGGAUCUGGCUAAUGUCCAUUCCACAGUCACUGGUAUGCAUUGAUGGGAAUUUUACAAACUAUCCCUUCUGCAACGUGGAGAAUGGAUUGCAGCAAGGAGCGAUCAGACGCAAGGAGACCACUACAGUGGCGACAUUUACAGUGGUGAUAGGGGAGUGGGAGGGAAAUAGGUCCACUUAAAAGAUAUUUAGGAGGCUUGAUGUACACGAUUCGGUGACUACUGGAUGCGGUGGUGGUGGGGGC
rnacentral:lncRNA from 10 species